GGUUUUGAUUGCCCAUCUCUGGUGAUAAGAAUGUUCUUCUCUUCCUGGUACAGGGAGGGCACUUUCUCAGGGGAAAUUUUAUGAUCUGCU